rnacentral:rRNA from 2 species
AAAUUGAAGAGUUUGAUCAUGGCUCAGAUUGAACGCUGGCGGCAGGCCUAACACAUGCAAGUCGAGCGGUAGCACAGAGAGCUUGCUCUCGGGUGACGAGCGGCGGACGGGUGAGUAAUGUCUGGGAAACUGCCUGAUGGAGGGGGAUAACUACUGGAAACGGUAGCUAAUACCGCAUAAUGUCGCAAGACCAAAGUGGGGGACCUUCGGGCCUCAUGCCAUCAGAUGUGCCCAGAUGGGAUUAGCUAGUAGGUGGGGUAACGGCUCACCUAGGCGACGAUCCCUAGCUGGUCUGAGAGGAUGACCAGCCACACUGGAACUGAGACACGGUCCAGACUCCUACGGGAGGCAGCAGUGGGGAAUAUUGCACAAUGGGCGCAAGCCUGAUGCAGCCAUGCCGCGUGUGUGAAGAAGGCCUUCGGGUUGUAAAGCACUUUCAGCGGGGAGGAAGGCGAUAAGGUUAAUAACCUUGUCGAUUGACGUUACCCGCAGAAGAAGCACCGGCUAACUCCGUGCCAGCAGCCGCGGUAAUACGGAGGGUGCAAGCGUUAAUCGGAAUUACUGGGCGUAAAGCGCACGCAGGCGGUCUGUCAAGUCGGAUGUGAAAUCCCCGGGCUUAACCUGGGAACUGCAUUCGAAACUGGCAGGCUAGAGUCUUGUAGAGGGGGGUAGAAUUCCAGGUGUAGCGGUGAAAUGCGUAGAGAUCUGGAGGAAUACCGGUGGCGAAGGCGGCCCCCUGGACAAAGACUGACGCUCAGGUGCGAAAGCGUGGGGAGCAAACAGGAUUAGAUACCCUGGUAGUCCACGCCGUAAACGAUGUCGAUUUGGAGGUUGUGCCCUUGAGGCGUGGCUUCCGGAGCUAACGCGUUAAAUCGACCGCCUGGGGAGUACGGCCGCAAGGUUAAAACUCAAAUGAAUUGACGGGGGCCCGCACAAGCGGUGGAGCAUGUGGUUUAAUUCGAUGCAACGCGAAGAACCUUACCUGGUCUUGACAUCCACAGAACUUUCCAGAGAUGGAUUGGUGCCUUCGGGAACUGUGAGACAGGUGCUGCAUGGCUGUCGUCAGCUCGUGUUGUGAAAUGUUGGGUUAAGUCCCGCAACGAGCGCAACCCUUAUCCUUUGUUGCCAGCGGU